rnacentral:rRNA from 1 species
AUGAGGCAAUAUUGGUGGGGUGUGGAGAAGGGGAAAAGCAAGAUGGCAUGGCUGAGCUGGGAUACAAUGAGGUUGCCUAAGUCUAUGGGGGGCAUGGGCUUCAGAGACAUGCGUGCAUUCAACCAGGCUCUGCUAGCUAAACAAGCAUGGAGGCUUAUUGACACUCCUGACAGCUUAUGUGCGAGAUUGCUGAGGGCCAAGUAUUACCCCUCUGGUCAGUUGUUGGAUACUGUGUUUCCUAACACUGGGUCGACAGUCUGGAAGGGUAUAUUACACGGUUUGGAAUUACUUAAGAAGGGAGUCAUUUGGCGUGUGGGUGACGGUGCUUCUAUCAGGACAUGGAGAGAUCACUGGAUCCCGCGGGCAACACCUUUCAAACCCAUUACUCCGAAAAGGACCUCG